rnacentral:rRNA from 1 species
GACAGAGGCCCCAAGCGUUAGGCGGAAUCACUGGGCUUAAAGCGCGUGUAGGCGGCUUUGCAAGUCGGGUGUGAAAGCCCUCAGCUCAACUGAGGAAGUGCGCCCGAAACUGCAGAGCUUGAGUACCGGAGAGGAUGGCGGAAUUCCCCAAGUAGAGGUGAAAUUCGUAGAUAUGGGGAGGAACACCGGUGGCGAAGGCGGCCAUCUGGACGGAUACUGACGCUGAGACGCGAAAGCGUGGGUAGCAAACAGG